rnacentral:misc_RNA from 1 species
UCUCCCAAUUGAAGCUCCAUCCCCAUGAAGAUCAGAACAUUUAUUCGUAGGACCUUUCUUAUCAUAUGUCAGCAGUGCUUUAAGUCCAUCAUGCGUCUUGCAAACAAAUGCUAACAUGGUUUCUAGCCCAAGAUAUUCUGAGAGAGUCCUGGAUUUAAGAGAUUUAGAUACAAAUGUCAGUCAUAAUACAAUGAACUUCUAAAUUUCUUUUGGUUUG